UUUGAUCAUGGCUCAGGACGAACGCUGGCGGCGUGCCUAAUACAUGCAAGUAGAACGCUGAAGAGAGGAGCUUGCUCUUCUUGGAUGAGUUGCGAACGGGUGAGUAACGCGUAGGUAACCUGCCUGGUAGCGGGGGAUAACUAUUGGAAACGAUAGCUAAUACCGCAUGAAAUUGCUUAUCGCAUGAUAAUUAAUUGAAAGAUGCAAUUGCAUCACUACCAGAUGGACCUGCGUUGUAUUAGCUAGUUGGUGAGGUAACGGCUCACCAAGGCGACGAUACAUAGCCGACCUGAGAGGGUGAUCGGCCACACUGGGACUGAGACACGGCCCAGACUCCUACGGGAGGCAGCAGUAGGGAAUCUUCGGCAAUGGGGGGAACCCUGACCGAGCAACGCCGCGUGAGUGAAGAAGGUUUUCGGAUCGUAAAGCUCUGUUGUAAGAGAAGAACGGGUGUGAGAGUGGAAAGUUCACACUGUGACGGUAUCUUACCAGAAAGGGACGGCUAACUACGUGCCAGCAGCCGC
rnacentral:rRNA from 1 species